ACUGCUUAUGAUGAUCAACAACUUACCUACAUUGAUAUGCAAUGAGAAUAAACUAAUUCUGAAGCAGGU
rfam:Strongylocentrotus purpuratus Contig58080_fixed, whole genome shotgun sequence.